GGCCAGAGCUAUAGGCUCUUCCAAGGAGUUUGGAAUCUGACCCUAAAAGCACCUGCGUUGGAAUUCCAGUUUUAAUUCUUGCAAGGCAUAUGAGUCUGGGCGAAUUCCUAUCUGUAAAACUGAAAUAUUAACAGAGCAGGACUUUGCUGCGAUCAACAGUUAGUGCAGUCUUCUUUCCCUCCUCUUUCUUUUCUUCCCUCUGGGGAUGGGGUGUGAUAGGACUCCGGGUUACCAAUACCUUUCUCUGUAAAGCUUCACAAACUCCCCUGCCUGUGGUAACCUUCUCUCCUUCCUCAGUGGUUACUUGGUGUGGAACUGGCUUUUGUGUCCGAGUGCUGCUACAAUCACGAGUGCAAAUACAGUGUGUGUUAAGUGGAGUUCUCUCUGAAACGUUCCUCCUUUUGGAACUCGUUUGCUUCUUGCAUGACUAUGGAAGAUGAACCAUGGACCAGUGAAAGAGCGUAGGAGGUAAAGGUGACUGUUGUGCAAAUCUGGCAGCCUGAGUUCGAUCCCCAGACCCCUCGUAAAGGUGGAAGGAGAAAACCACUUCCUCAAAGUUGUCCUUCAGCUUCCAAAAUGCACUUCAUGGCAGAUAUGCCCACGAUGCUGCAGAAAUAAAGAAUAAAAGAAAACCACAGAA
rnacentral:lncRNA from 1 species